AACCAAAUACACAAUACAUUCUGCCAAAGCUCUUCUAACCAAAGUGACUUCUUCUACUUAGAAUGCUGAUCCACCCAUGAAAAGGAAAGAGAAAUGCCUGUCUUUGAGAUGAGACAGAAAACAAAGAUGGGGAAAAUGAGGCACAGAGACUCUGAAUGACCUGCUUAAGGUCAUACAAGAAACCUGUUGCAGAGUCAAGAACAGAACCAAGAUCUCCUGACAUUCAGUCUUUCUUCUUUAACAAGCACACAGCCC